rnacentral:rRNA from 1 species
AGCGAUAAGGGAACCUCGAGUGCCAGGUUACAAAUCUGGCUGUCGAGAUGCCUAAAAAGCAUUUCAUAGCAAGGGCCGGGCAAGACCGGUGCCAGCCGCCGCGGUAACACCGGCGGCUCGAGUGGUAACCGUUAUUAUUGGGUCUAAAGGGUCUGUAGCCGGCCGGAUAAGUCUCUUGAGAAAUCCAGCAGCUUAACUGUCAGGCUUUCAGGAGAUACUGUCUGGCUCGAGGCCGGGAGAGGUGAGAGGUACCUCAGGGGUAGGGGUGAAAUCUUGUAAUCCUUGAAGGACCACCAGUGGCGAAGGCGUCUCACCAGAACGGACCUGACGGCAAGGGACGAAAGCUAGGGGCACGAACCGGAUUAGAUACCCGGGUAGUCCUAGCCGUAAACGAUACUCGCUAGGUGUCGGCCACGGUGCGACCGUUGUCGGUGCCGUAGGGAAGCCGUGAAGCGAGCCACCUGGGAAGUACGGCCGCAAGGCUGAAACUUAAAGGAAUUGGCGGGG